GGUUUGAACCCCAAAGCCCACUGUAACAAUCCAUACCCAAACAAUCUUUUGUUGCUGUUCCUUCUACCGACUGCUAAAGCCAUGGCGGUCGUCAACAGCGCUUCAAGCUUAGCACCCCACCGGCCCAUGUUAGCACCACCUCUAUCUGUAAACUCUAACCGCAGUUCAACCUCCUUCUCUCCCAAAUCAACUCUCUCCUGCAACUUCCUCACUCCCUUCCCCCACGGCAGCGUCUCCGCUGACUUCUCUGGCCACAAGCUCCGUCCCUUGUCUCUCAAUCCGGCGUCGUUUCCUCGCUCCAAGGGUAAGCGAGGAGUCGUCACUAUGGUUAUUCCAUUUUCAAGGGGAAGUGCAUGGGAGCAACCUCCUCCGGAUUUGGCAUCUUACUUGUACAAGAACCGGAUUGUUUACUUGGGCAUGUCCCUUGUACCUUCUGUCACAGAGUUGAUACUGGCAGAAUUCUUGUACCUUCAGUAUGAAGAUGCUGACAAACCUAUCUAUCUAUACAUAAACUCCACUGGAACAACCAAGGGUGGCGAGAAGUUGGGUUACGAGACUGAGGCUUUUGCGAUUUAUGAUGUUAUGAGGUAUGUCAAGCCACCUAUAUUUACUCUCUGUGUUGGUAAUGCCUGGGGAGAAGCAGCUUUACUUUUGGCUGCUGGUGCCAAGGGGAACCGUUCUGCGUUGCCCUCGUCAACAAUCAUGAUAAAGCAGCCAAUUGCCAGGUUCCAAGGUCAAGCAACUGACAUUGACCUCGCAAGUAAAGAAGUAAAAAAUGUCAAGGCAGAGUUGGAUUGCAGGUGAGAAAUAUGCCUCAGUGGAUAAUUGCAUGGAGUCAUUGGGGGAACUAGUCCAAUGGAACGUGAAUUUCACUAGAGCCACCCAAGAUUGGGAAGUUGGCAGCUUUGAGGAGUUUUUUGCCCUUCUAUACACCAUGAGGCAGAGAACCCAAGUAGCAGAUAAGAUGUGGUGGAUACCCACAGCUAAAGGAAUUUCUCGGUCCGUUCUUUCUAUAAGACGCUUACUCAACCACAGAAUACUCAAUUCCCCUAGAGAAAGAUAUGGAGGAACAAGGCGCCUCCCAAACCUGCAUUUUUUGUGUGGACAGCAGCAUUAGGUUAAUCUCCUUGCAAAGCAUGUUGGAAAAUCGCCUGA